rnacentral:rRNA from 1 species
CGCGUAGGCGGCCUGCUAAGUCGAACGUGAAAUCCCCGAGCUCAACUCGGGAACUGCGUCCGAUACUGGCAGGCUUGAAUCCGGGAGAGGGAUGCGGAAUUCCAGGUGUAGCGGUGAAAUGCGUAGAUAUUGGGAGGAACACCGACGGCGUAGGCAGUCUACUGGCAUACUUCUGACCCUGAGGCACGAAAGCGUGGGGAGCGAACC